rnacentral:rRNA from 1 species
GACGAACGCUGGCGGCGUGCCUAAUACAUGCAAGUUGAGCGCUGAAGGUUGGUACUUGUACCGACUGGAUGAGCAGCGAACGGGUGAGUAACGCGUGGGGAAUCUGCCUUUGAGCGGGGGACAACAUUUGGAAACGAAUGCUAAUACCGCAUAAAAACUUUAAACACAAGUUUUAAGUUUGAAAGAUGCAAUUGCAUCACUCAAAGAUGAUCCCGCGUUGUAUUAGCUAGUCGGUGAGGUAAAGGCUCACCAAGGCGAUGAUACAUAGCCGACCUGAGAGGGUGAUCGGCCACAUUGGGACUGAGACACGGCCCAAACUCCUACGGGAGGCAGCAGUAGGGAAUCUUCGGCAAUGGACGAAAGUCUGACCGAGCAACGCCGCGUGAGUGAAGAAGGUUUUCGGAUCGUAAAACUCGGUUGGUAGAGAAGAACGUUGGUGAGAGUGGAAAGCUCAUCAAGUGACGGUAACUACCCAGAAAGGGACGGCUAACUACGUG